GGGCGGUCUCCUCCCAAAGCGUAACGGAGGAGCACGAAGGUUAGCUAAUCCUGGUCGGACAUCAGGAGGUUAGUGCAAUGGCAUAAGCUAGCUUGACUGCGAGCGUGACGGCGCGAGCAGGUGCGAAAGCAGGUCAUAGUGAUCCGGUGGUUCUGAAUGGAAGGGCCAUCGCUCAACGGAUAAAAGGUACUCCGGGGAUAACAGGCUGAUACCGCCCAAGAGUUCAUAUCGACGGCGGUGUUUGGCACCUCGAUGUCGGCUCAUCACAUCCUGGGGCUGAAGUAGGUCCCAAGGGUAUGGCUGUUCGCCAUUUAAAGUGGUACGCGAGCUGGGUUUAGAACGUCGUGAGACAGUUCGGUCCCUAUCUGCCGUGGGCGCUGGAGAAUUGAGGGGGGCUGCUCCUAGUACGAGAGGACCGGAGUGGACGCAUCACUGGUGUUCGGGUUGUCAUGCCAAUGGCACUGCCCGGUAGCUAAAUGCGGAAGAGAUAAGUGCUGAAAGCAUCUAAGCACGAAACUUGCCCCGAGAUGAGUUCUCCCUGAGACUU
rnacentral:rRNA from 1 species